rnacentral:rRNA from 1 species
AACGCGAAGAACCUUACCAGGGCUUAAAUGUAGAUUGACAGGUUUAGAGAUAGACUUUCCUUCGGGCAAUUUACAAGGUGCUGCAUGGUUGUCGUCAGCUCGUGCCGUGAGGUGUCAGGUUAAGUCCUAUAACGAGCGCAACCCCUAUUGUUAGUUGCCAGCGAGUCAAGUCGGGAACUCUAACAAGACUGCCGGUGCAAACCGCGAGGAAGGUGGGGAUGACGUCAAAUCAUCACGGCCCUUACGUCCUGGGCUACACACGUGCUACAAUGGCCAGUACAGAAAGCAGCUACCAGGCAACUGGAUGCGAAUCUCAAAAACUGGUACUCAGUUCGGAUUGGAGUCUGCAACUCGACUCCAUGAAGCUGGAAUCGCUAGUAAUCGGAUAUCAGCCAUGAUCCGGUGAAUACGUUCCCGGGCCUUGUACACACCGCGCAUA